UACGUAGGGGGGCUAGCGUUGUCCGGAUUUAUUGGGCGUAAAGAGCGUGUAGGCGGCCAGGUAGGUCUGGUGUGAAAAACUGAGGCUUAACCUCGAGAUGUCAUCGGAAACCAUCUGGCUAGAGUCCGGAAGAGGAGAGUGGAAUUCCUGGUGUAGCGGUGAAAAUGCGCAGAUAUCAGGGAAAGAAACACCCAAAUGGCGAAAAAGCAGCUCUCUGGGGACGGGUACUGACGCUGAGACGCGAAAAAAGCGUGGGGGGGAGCGAAACAGGG
rnacentral:rRNA from 1 species